GGCUAUCACAUCCAAGGAAGGCAGCAGGCGCGUAAAUUACCCACUCUCAAUUCGAGGAGGUAGUGACUAUCAAUAACGAGACAGAUCUCUUUGAGGUCUGUCAUUGAAAUGAGCACAACUUAAAGACUUUAACGAAGUCUAUGGGAGGGCAAGUCUGGUGCCAGCAGCCGCGGUAAUUCCAGCUCCCAACGUGUAUAUCGUCAUUGCUGCGGUUAAAAAGCUCGUAGUUGGAUCUUAGCUUAUGACAGUAGUUCACCAUGUGUGAUACUGCGUGUCUGAGCUGUUUCGCCGGUUUUCCUUGGUUUCGGCCUUGGUGACUGGUGUUGUAACUUUGAUUAAAUCAAUGUGAUUAAAACAGGCGUUUGCUUGUAUGCUUUAUCAUGGAAUAAUAGAAUAUGACUUCGGUCCAUUCUGUUGGUCUUGGGAUCGAAGUAAUGAUUAAAAGGAACAACUCGGGGGCAUCCGUAUCGCUGCGUGAGAGGUGAAAUUCUUGGACCGCAGCGAGACGACCUAUUGCGAAAGCAUUUGCCAAGAAUGUUUUCAUUAAUCAAGAACGAAAGUCAGAGGAUCGAAGGCGAUUAGAUACCGCCCUAGUUCUGACCGUAAACUAUGCCAACUAGCGAUCAGGUGGUGGUAGUUUAGCCCUGCCUGGGAGCUUCUCGGAAACGAAAGUCUUCGGGUUCCGGGGGUAGUAUGGUUGCAAAUCUGAAACUUAAAGGAAUUGACGGAAGGGCACCACCAGGAGUGGAGCCUGCGGCUUAAUUUGACUCAACACGGGAAAUCUCACCCGGACCGGACACUAUAAUGAUUGACAGAUUGAUAGUUCUUUCUUGAUUUGGUGGUUGGUGGUGCAUGGCCGUUCUUAGUUCGUGGAUUGAUCUGUCUGGUUUAUUCCGAUAACGAACGAGACUCUAACCUGCUAACUAGUGGUGCGAUAGUUUGGUCGUAUCUACUUCUUAGAGGGAUAAGCGGUGUUCAACCGCAUGAGAUU
rnacentral:rRNA from 1 species